rnacentral:lncRNA from 1 species
GGGCAGGGCUCGUUCUUCUAACCCACUCACCUUCAACAGCAAUUGUUUCUAUGUAAUGCACAGUUAGCACAUUUUGGGGUGUAUUCAGUGUCUUUUUCGAGUCUCAAAAAUAAUUCUGAGGUGGGCAGGGCAGGCCCUUUCACCCUUUCCCGCUAAAAUGAAACCAGAAAAGGGUUACCCACCUCAGGGUCUCAGGGCCCGAAGUGAGCUGUCUUGAGUGACAAACUCUACACUCUGGUCACUUCAGCACAGGGCCUGUCCGAGGUCCCCGGCAUGACUGUCCUCCCCCAGCCACCCUGAGGCCCCGCAUGACUCUCCUCCCCCCGUGACCCCGAGAUCCCUGGCAUGACUCCUCCACGGUGACCCCGAGGUCCCGGCAUGACUCUCCUCCACGGUGACCCCAAGGUCCCGGCAUGACUCCUGCACGGUGACCCCGAGGUCCGGGCAUGACUCUCCUCCACGGUGACCCCGCCCGUGGCCUAGCAGCUCUGUCCACACACCAGCUCCCAGCAGGAACCCGCACUCCCGGCUCCGGCCUCGGGGCACAGCCCCACCCUUGAACGCUCCCAGUCUUUUGCUGUGAGAUUCACUCUCCCUCGCAGGAGCUCCCCUGCGCGGUUGGGAGGACAAGCCCGGAGGCUGUCCCUUUCCCCUCUUGGCGCAGUCCGGCCGGGAAGGCUGCGGCUCGCUGGGGCCCGCGCUGCGCCUGCAGGGCACCGGGAGCAGCCGCGCUUCCUCAUACCUGAGCCGCCGCUGCGGGGCCCUCCUGGCCCUAUUUAAGGCGCCGCACCGGGCGGGCAGUGAGUCACGGCACCGCGAGGACAGCAGCCCGAGCCACCUGCGCAGCCGGGAAGGCAGCCGGCCUCGCCAUGGCCUCCCUGGGGCAGAUCCUCUUCUGGAGCAUUAUUAGCAUCAUAAUUAUUCUGGCUGGAGCCAUUGCACUCAUCAUUGGCUUUGGUAUUUCAGGUAUGUGAUUUCUUUUUUCUUUCUUUCUUCCUCUUUCCUUCAUUCAUUCCUUGUU